rnacentral:rRNA from 1 species
AGAGUUUGAUCAUGGCUCAGAUUGAACGCUGGCGGCAGGCCUAACACAUGCAAGUCGAACGGUAACAGAACUAGCUUGCUAGUUGCUGACGAGUGGCGGACGGGUGAGUAAUACUUAGGGAUCUGCCUCUGUGUGGGGGAUAACUAUUGGAAACGAUAGCUAAUACCGCAUAACGUCUACGGACCAAAGAGGGCUUCGGCUCUCGCGCAGAGAGGAACCUAAGCGAGAUUAGCUUGUUGGUGAGGUAAAGGCUCACCAAGGCGACGAUCUCUAGCUGUUCUGAGGGGAAGAUCAGCCACACUGGAACUGAGACACGGUCCAGACUCCUACGGGAGGCAGCAGUGGGGAAUAUUGCACAAUGGGGGCAACCCUGAUGCAGCCAUGCCGCGUGUGUGAAGAAGGCCUUCGGGUUGUAAAGCACUUUCAGUUGUGAGGAAAGGUUAGUAGUUAAUACCUGCUAGCUGUGACGUUAACAACAGAAGAAGCACCGGCUAACUCCGUGCCAGCAGCCGCGGUAAUACGGAGGGUGCGAGCGUUAAUCGGAAUUACUGGGCGUAAAGCGCACGCAGGCGGUCUGUUAAGCUAGAUGUGAAAGCCCCGCGCUCAACGUGGGAGGGUCAUUUAGAACUGGUAGACUAGAGUCUUGGAGAGGGGAGUGGAAUUCCAGGUGUAGCGGUGAAAUGCGUAGAGAUCUGGAGGAACAUCAAUGGCGAAGGCAACUCCUGGCCAAAGACUGACGCUCAUGUGCGAAAGUGUGGGUAGCGAACAGGAUUAGAUACCCUGGUAGUCCACACCGUAAACGCUGUCUACUAGCUGUUUGUGGAUUUAAUCCGUGAGUAGCGAAGCUAACGCGAUA